UACGUAGGUGACAAGCGUUGUCCGGAUUUACUGGGCGUAAAGAGCGCGCAGGCGGUCGAUACAAGUCGAGUGUGAAAGCCCCCGGCUCAACUGGGGAGGGUCAUUCGAUACUGAUCGACUCGAAGGCAGGAGAGGGUAGUGGAAUUCCCGGUGUAGUGGUGAAAUGCGUAGAUAUCGGGAGGAACACCAGUGGCGAAGGCGACUACCUGGCCUGUUCUUGACGCUGAGGCGCGAAAGCUAGGGGAGCAAACGGG
rnacentral:rRNA from 1 species